UUGGGGGGGGCAGGGCUAAACAUGCAGUCGAGCGGUAGCACAGAGAGCUUGCUCUCGGGUGACGAGCGGCGGACGGGUGAGUAAUGUCUGGGAAACUGCCUGAUGGAGGGGGAUAACUACUGGAAACGGUAGCUAAUACCGCAUAAUGUCGCAAGACCAAAGUGGGGGACCUUCGGGCCUCAUGCCAUCAGAUGUGCCCAGAUGGGAUUAGCUAGUAGGUGGGGUAACGGCUCACCUAGGCGACGAUCCCUAGCUGGUCUGAGAGGAUGACCAGCCACACUGGAACUGAGACACGGUCCAGACUCCUACGGGAGGCAGCAGUGGGGAAUAUUGCACAAUGGGCGCAAGCCUGAUGCAGCCAUGCCGCGUGUGUGAAGAAGGCCUUCGGGUUGUAAAGCACUUUCAGCGGGGAGGAAGGCGUUAAGGUUAAUAACCUUGUCGAUUGACGUUACCCGCAGAAGAAGCACCGGCUAACUCCGUGCCAGCAGCCGCGGUAAUACGGAGGGUGCAAGCGUUAAUCGGAAUUACUGGGCGUAAAGCGCACGCAGGCGGUCUGUCAAGUCGGAUGUGAAAUCCCCGGGCUCAACCUGGGAACUGCAUUCGAAACUGGCAGGCUAGAGUCUUGUAGAGGGGGGUAGAAUUCCAGGUGUAGCGGUGAAAUGCGUAGAGAUCUGGAGGAAUACCGGUGGCGAAGGCGGCCCCCUGGACAAAGACUGACGCUCAGGUGCGAAAGCGUGGGGAGCAAACAGGAUUAGAUACCCUGGUAGUCCACGCCGUAAACGAUGUCGAUUUGGAGGUUGUGCCCUUGAGGCGUGGCUUCCGGAGCUAACGCGUUAAAUCGACCGCCUGGGGAGUACGGCCGCAAGGUUAAAACUCAAAUGAAUUGACGGGGGCCCGCACAAGCGGUGGAGCAUGUGGUUUAAUUCGAUGCAACGCGAAGAACCUUACCUGGUCUUGACAUCCACAGAACUUUCCAGAGAUGGAUUGGUGCCUUCGGGAACUGUGAGACAGGUGCUGCAUGGCUGUCGUCAGCUCGUGUUGUGAAAUGUUGGGUUAAGUCCCGCAACGAGCGCAACCCUUAUCCUUUGUUGCCAGCGGUCCGGCCGGGAACUCAAAGGAGACUGCCAGUGAUAAACUGGAGGAAGGUGGGGAUGACGUCAAGUCAUCAUGGCCCUUACGACCAGGGCUACACACGUGCUACAAUGGCAUAUACAAAGAGAAGCGACCUCGCGAGAGCAAGCGGACCUCAUAAAGUAUGUCGUAGUCCGGAUUGGAGUCUGCAACUCGACUCCAUGAAGUCGGAAUCGCUAGUAAUCGUAGAUCAGAAUGCUACGGUGAAUACGUUCCCGGGCCUUGUACACACCGCCCGUCACACCAUGGGAGUGGGUUGCAAAAGAAGUAGGUAGCUUAACCUUCGGGAGGGCGCUUACCCACUUUGAUUGGGGGU
rnacentral:rRNA from 1 species